ensembl:misc_RNA Y_RNA Y RNA
GGCUGGUCCCAGUACAGUGGUGUUUACAACUACUUCAUCACAACCAGUUCCAGAUUCCUUUGUUCGUUCUCCACUCCCAUACUUCACUUGACUGGCCUUUU